UGGGGCGUCGCCAAGCGGUAAGGCAACGGGUUUUGGUUCCGUCAUUCGAAGGUUCGAGUCCUUCCGCCCCAGCCA
rnacentral:tRNA from 1 species